UACGGGGGGGGCAAGCGUUGUUCGGAAUUACUGGGCGUAAAGCGCGCGUAGGCGGUUUGUUAAGUCAGCUGUGAAAGCCCCGGGCUCAACCUGGGAACUGCAGUUGAUACUGGCCGACUGGAGUGCGAGAGAGGGAGGUAGAAUUCCAUGUGUAGCGGUGAAAUGCGUAGAUAUAUGGAGGAAUACCGGUGGCGAAGGCGGCCUCCUGGCUCGACACUGACGCUGAGGUGCGAAAGCGUGGGGAUCAAACAGG
rnacentral:rRNA from 1 species